rnacentral:antisense_RNA from 1 species
CUUCACCGAGCCCAGCAACAGCGGCCUGUCCUCGGACCGGUUCCGGCCGUAGGUGUCGAGCAGCGCCUGAGCUUC